UACGGUUCUAAACUAAUUAACAUCUCCCUUACUUUCUUUUUGAAAUUAUCAAUUACCCUAAAGCUAUUUGGUAGAUAAUUAUAAAUCGUUAUACAAUUAUACGAAGGAUGUUUCUCACUUAAGCUUAAUCUAUGCUUAGAAUAAUGUAAGUCCAGAGUUCUUGUCUGGUAAAUAUGAGCUGUUGUGUGUUGAAUCAUUGUAUCUUUAUUUUUGAAAAAAAAAUUAAGCAUUCGAAUAGGUGGACCACGGUCGAUGGUAUGAUUUUAUUUAUUUAGGCCUAUGAUUAAUAUACGAAAAUGUUAACGCUGAACUUAUGGAGGGUAAAGAUGAGGAGAAUAAUCUAUUAUGGUAGAAGGUUCAGCGGAAAAGGAUAAAUAGGAGGCGCUAGUGUUGUUAGAGGGUAACGAAUACAAGAAGACAAAUGUAUUUUCAACCUUAUAUUUAUAAAAGUAAAUCUAAUAAACAAUUUUGAAUUGA